GCAGCAGAAGAAACAAAAGCAGAAGUAGAAGAAGAAGUAGAAGCAACAGGGGCAGAAUGAUAAACAGAAGAAGGAGAAGCAUAGCUGAACCAGAACCAGAAGAAGCAGCAGCAG